rnacentral:rRNA from 1 species
GACGCAAGUCCGAGUUGUAAUUUGAAGAAGGUAAUUUUUGGGGAGAUGUGAACAAAAGUUCCUUGGAACAGGACGUCAUAGAGGGUGAGAAUCCCGUUUUGUUUACCUCUCUCUCCUUGUAAAAUGCUUUCGAAGAGUCGAGUUGUUUGGGAAUGCAGCUCUAAGUGGGUGGUAAAUUCCAUCUAAAGCUAAAUAUUGGCGAGAGACCGAUAGCGAACAAGUACAGUGAUGGAAAGAUGAAAAGAACUUUGAAAAGAGAGUGAAAAAGUACGUGAAAUUGUUGAAAGGGAAGGGUUUUAAGGGAGACUUGGGAGGUAACGAACAAUUUUCUUUCGGGAAGGCGCACUCGUUGCUUUCUAGGCCAAUAUGGAUUUGAAGAGUGGGAUAAAAGGAUAGGAAUGUAGCCAC